GCUGCAGGCGUUAUAAAAAGCACAAAUGCUAAUGCCCUGGAUGAAACCCUGGAAACGGCCAUGAGCUCCUGACGGGUCGUGCGCUACAGCCCAAGAUGUGAAGAACUGAGCAGAAUUUUGCUCUCAUCACACCACUGUAAAAGCAGUUCUGCCUCCGAGUUUGACAACUUUCAAGAGCAGAAAUAGUCUGUGGACAUGAAACUACACGUAACCUACAAAGCCUUUACAGCAUGCCUUUACAGCCGUGUUUCCAGUGCAGCCUGCAGCCUGUGCACCACUGCGACCCCUGCGUCACUGUAUGACCCAAGCACCUUUACCCAAACUCGUCCCUUUGUCUUCUGUGACCAAGCCAGGAUCAAACCAACAGCUGCAAUAGAAAUCACCCACAGUGUUUAGAUCAUGAACAACGCUGAAUCGUGAGCAAGCUAGGUGCUGAGAUAGAGGAGGGAAGCUUGUCAGCUUGCAGCGAUCUGUCACUCCAUCUCCUGGCCAAGAGUUCCCUUCCGGAGUCGCCUGCAAGCCACACACACAUAAAGAAGGUAUUCAUGCCUUCCUCCAUGUGAAGCAUGGGGCUUAAUAUUACUUUGUGCACUGAUUAUGUUGAAAGUAAUAGCGGGAACACUCUGAUACUGUUAGC